AAAAAUUUAGUUAAUAAUAUAACAUUAGUUUGUCAAACUAAAAUAACUUACUAAGUAUUUUUUG
rnacentral:tRNA from 1 species